rnacentral:rRNA from 1 species
UGAGUAACACGUAUCCAACCUGCCGACAACACUGGGAUAGCCUUUCGAAAGAAAGAUUAAUACCGGAUGGCAUAGUCUUCCCGCAUGGGAUGACUAUUAAAGAAUUUCGGUUGUCGAUGGGGAUGCGUUCCAUUAGGCAGUUGGCGGGGUAACGGCCCACCAAACCAACGAUGGAUAGGGGUUCUGAGAGGAAGGUCCCCCACAUUGGAACUGAGACACGGUCCAAACUCCUACGGGAGGCAGCAGUGAGGAAUAUUGGUCAAUGGACGAGAGUCUGAACCAGCCAAGUAGCGUGAAGGAUGACUGCCCUAUGGGUUGUAAACUUCUUUUAUACGGGAAUAAAGUGAGCCACGUGUGGCUUUUUGUAUGUACCGUAUGAAUAAGGAUCGACUAACUCCGUGCCAGCAGCCGCGGUAAUACGGAGGAUCCGAGCGUUAUCCGGAUUUAUUGGGUUUAAAGGGAGCGUAGGCGGGUUGUUAAGUCAGUUGUGAAAG